rnacentral:lncRNA from 1 species
GACGGCGAGUUGGCCGCUCUGGGUAGGGAGCCCUGAGGUGGCGGCGGGACGGUGGGUACAGCGACGCAUCAGAGAGGCGCCUGCUCAUCCGGGUGUCAGGCGGCGCGGCUGCUGGGUCGGGUCAGCCCGGGAACCCUCGCCUCUCUGCCCGCUCGCGGAGCUGCCGGAAGCCCGGUUCUAGAAGGCCGCCCGAAGCCUGGACAGGGCCAGGUGGCGGACACCGGGACAGGAAUCUGGACCGGCCGAGCUUGCCUCUUCCUUAGCAGCGCGCUGCAGAGGCAGAGGCAGGCAGAUCUCUGUGAGUUCCAGCCAACCAGAUCUACAUAGUGAGUUUCAGACAAGCCAGAACUACACAGUGGAGACUCUGUCUUGAAAACAAGCAAGCAAACAAAAGAACAACCGCCACCACACAAAAGUGAAAAUGCCUCGUGUAAAAGCAGCUCAGGCUGGAAGACAGGGACCUGCAAAGAGGCGCCUCGCAGAGCAGUUUGCCGCUGGAGAGAUCAUAACCGACAUGUCUAAAAAGGAAUGGAAACUAGGCUUGCCUAUUGGCCAAGGAGGCUUUGGCUGCAUCUAUCUGGCGGACACAAAUUCUUCCAAACCGGUCGGCAGUGAUGCGCCCUGUGUUGUGAAAGUGGAACCCAGUGACAAUGGACCUCUUUUCACUGAAUUAAAGUUCUACCAGAGGGCUGCUAAACCAGAGCAAAUUCAGAAAUGGAUUCAUACACAUAAAUUGAAGUAUCUUGGUGUUCCUAAGUAUUGGGGAUCUGGUCUACAUGAUAAAAAUGGAAAA